rnacentral:lncRNA from 1 species
GCAUUAAGUACUUUAAAAGGCCUACUGCUUGGUAUGUGUCGGCCCCAUUAGAGGGAACAUUUUAUCACAACGGAGGCACAAGUAGGUUGUUUGAUGGUAAUUGCCUUCCAAAACCCAUAGAGAAAAUGCAUCGCAAACCCACCACAAUUAAGUGGCCACAUUCCUCUUUUUUGAUUUAGAGCUAUUUAGAAAUAUUAGCACUGACUUUGCUUCCAGGCCUCACUUCUGAGAUGGCAAGGAGGAGGGAGAGCUUUUACUGACAGAACUAUGUGUGCCCAUCAUAGUGGAUGCAUGUUCAAUGUCAAGGGCAGUCUAUGGACCAGUGGACACCCCAGGUCAGGUGUUGGGGCAGCCAGAAGGGAUCCUGUGCUCUCCGAAAGUCAGCUCCCGUUUUCUCAGAAACAAAAAGAGGAAUUAAAUGAAUAAAAGCCACACAGUACUGUGUAAAAGAUGAGACGCAAU